rnacentral:rRNA from 1 species
UACGUAGGGGGCUAGCGUUAUCCGGAAUUACUGGGCGUAAAGGGUGCGUAGGUGGUUUCUUAAGUCAGAGGUGAAAGGCUACGGCUCAACCGUAGUAAGCCUUUGAAACUGGGAAACUUGAGUGCAGGAGAGGAGAGUGGAAUUCCUAGUGUAGCGGUGAAAUGCGUAGAGAUUAGGAAGAACACCAGUGGCGAAGGCGAUUCUCUGGACUGUAACUGACGCUGAGGCUCGAAAGCGUGGGGAGCAAACAGG